AUGAAGUGGCGCCAAGCUUCUGGCAUUCUCUGUGACAAGAGAGUGCCACAAAAGCUAAAAGGCAAGUUCUACAGGGCGGCGGUUCGACCCGCAAUGUUGUAUGGCGCUGAGUGUUGGCCGACUAAAAGGCGACAUGUUCAACGGUUAGGUGUGGCGGAGAUGCGUAUGUUGAGAUGGAUGUGCGGCCACACGAGGAAGGAUCGAGUCUGGAAUGAUGAUAUACGAGAUAGAGUUGGGGUGGCACCAAUUGAAGAGAAUCUUGUCCAACAUCGUCUGAGAUGGUUUGGGCAUAUUCAGCGCAGGCCUCCAGAAGCUCCAAUGCAUGGCGGACGGCUAAAGCGGGCGCAGAAUGUCAAGAGAGGUCGGGGUAGACCGAAUUUGACAUGGUAG
rnacentral:rRNA from 1 species